GUAAAGCCGAAUGUUUCAUAGAAAAGUACCGUCACCGGACUUUAAGGUUAUGAGAAAAACACUGUAUAUACUUCAGCCCUGAAAAUGGAGACAGCAUGUUUCUCUGCACCAGGAGACUCGUACGUAGGGGGCAGAGGUAAAAAGCAAGUGACCUCACCUAAAUAAGUGAAUAUUAGUCAUAACAGAGUUGUGUAAGUGCCAAAUAACGUAGACAACCAAACCAGCCAGCACAGGCAAAUGCUGUUCAAGAGUACCACGGUAGAGGACAAGAAGAACACAUGAAGGAGCCGCUGUUAGGCGGUUUUACUUUCAACUAUAUAGCGACAUAACAUUCCAAUAGACCAGGAUGAACACCACAUGGGCAGUGGCAGGGAGUGAGGCAAAACAGGAGUUACUACAAUGCUGCUCUGAAAGCAAAGUCAUCAACACAACAUUGAAAACAGGCCAGCUGGGGCAUGUAGCACACGUGGAUGAGAUUUUAAUUGCAUAAAAUUGACAAUCGUAAUUGGGCGGAAGUCAAGUGAAUUUGUUCCAGGUGACAACAUAGUGGCUUGUCAUGUUCUUUAUCCAAUUCAGUAUCUGCCCAUGUUUUCAAGGUGUUUGACCACCAAACCCCACAUCCACCUUCCCUGUCAACCCACCCACUACCCACGCUACCCUAUCCCGGAAUGUUCGGCAGCCAAAUCUGUGGCGUAACAGAAUUCUUUCAGACAAGAAUUGGUUAAAAUAUUACCACUGAUUUGCAUAAUUUUCUUUAUUAAGAGGAACAUGUUGUUAAAGCACUGUACUUGUAAGUCAAUGACAUAACGAAUAUAAAAUUAAAUACUUUACUGCAAA